rnacentral:misc_RNA from 1 species
GAUGAAGAACGUAGCGAAAUGCGAUAAGUAAUGUGAAUUGCAGAAUUCCGUGAAUCAUCGAAUCUUUGAACGCACAUUGCGCCCCCUGGUAUUCCGGGGGGCAUGCCUGUCCGAGCGUCAUUGCAACCCUCAAGCGCGGCUUGUGUGUUGGGCUUCGUCCCCCCGUGGACGUGCCCGAAAGGCAGUGGCGGCGUCCCGAAUGGUGCCCGAGCGUAUGGGAACUCUCUUCCGCUCGAACCGGCCCAUUCGGCGCUGGUCGAACCCCAAUUUUUUACCGGUUGACCUCGGAUCAGGUAGGGAUACCCGCUGAACUUAAGCAUAUCAAUAAGCGGAGGA